GCUUCCAGAGCUAUCUUUGCUGAAAGAAUGAAACUUCAGGAAUGAAAGUUUGCACAUAAAGCAAGCCCGUGAGAAAGACAUUUUGGGAAAACUAGAAUCCUGUUAAGUUAUGGGAUUUUUUUUCAAGCCACAUGGUUGAUAAGUAGUCUGACCAGGAUCCUGGAGCAACACAAGGAAGACAAGGACCCUUGAAGACAAGGCAGCCUUGAAACCAAGUGAAGCCCUGGGCCAGUGAGCAUGGCAAGAGGAAGACUCUGUUAAUUGUGAGAAAGCUAGGUCUUGAAGAUGAUUCCAUAUCAACAUACAGGAGUUCCACUGAAUGGUCUAUCGGUUGGGAAUGCCAUAAUUUAUUUUCACCAAUGGGGCAGAAUUGGUAUUAAUAUCAAAACCACAGUACUGUCAUACCCAGCUAUAAUUUGCAAUGUUUAUAUGCCUGUAUGAAUGAACAAUUAACCGUUAAAUAAAUCUAUAUAU
rnacentral:lncRNA from 1 species